rnacentral:lncRNA from 1 species
AACAUAUCAGGUUUGUUAUAUAUAUUUGAUCAAAUUCAGUUGGUGAGUGAUAACCAAAUUUGAUAGAAUUAUUUAAUUUCCAGUAAGAUCAAUUAUGACAAUCAUUUUUUUUUCAUAUAAAGCUUCUGGUUAUAACACUAUUCAAAUAACACUUUCUCGAGCAAUUAUGCACUUUGCAGACAAAAAAAAUAAAAUAUGCAGCUCAGUAGCGCACGAGAUGUAUCGAUACACAGGGUGU